UACGGGGGGGGCAAGCGUUGUUCGGAAUUACUGGGCGUAAAGGGCUCGUAGGUGGCCAACUAAGUCAGACGUGAAAUCCCUCGGCUUAACCGGGGAACUGCGUCUGAUACUGGAUGGCUUGAGUUUGGGAGAGGGAUGCGGAAUUCCAGGUGUAGCGGUGAAAUGCGUAGAUAUCUGGAAGAACACCAGUGGCGAAGGCGGCCUUCUGGACUGACACUGACGCUGAGGCGCGAAAGCUGGGGGAGCAAACAGG
rnacentral:rRNA from 1 species